CCUACGGGAGGCAGCAGUGAGGAAUAUUGGUCAAUGGCCGCAGGGCUGAACCAGCCAAGUCGCGUGAGGGAUGACGGUCCUAUGGAUUGUAAACCUCUUUUGUCAGGGAGCAAAGGGCGCCACGUGUGGCGUUUUGCGAGUACCCGAAGAAAAAGCAUCGGCUAACUCCGUGCCAGCAGCCGCGGUAAUACGGAGGAUGCGAGCGUUAUCCGGAUUUAUUGGGUUAAAAGGGUGCGCAGGCGGGAUGUCAAGUCAGCGGUAAAAUUUCGGGGCUCAACCCCGUCGUGCCGUUGAAACUGGCGGUCUUGAGUGGGCGAGAAGUAUGCGGAAUGCGGGGUGUAGCGGUGAAAUGCAUAGAUAUCACGCAGAACUCCGGUUGCGAAGGCAGCAUACCGGCGCUCAACUGACGCUCAUGCACGAAAGCGUGGGUAUCGAACAGGAUUAGAUACCCGUGUAGGC
rnacentral:rRNA from 1 species